rnacentral:rRNA from 1 species
GGGGAAUAUUGGACAAUGGGGGCAACCCUGAUCCAGCAAUGCCGCGUGAAUGAUGAAGGCCUUAGGGUUGUAAAGUUCUUUUAUUGAUGACGAUAAUGACGGUAAUCAAUGAAUAAGCACCGGCUAACUUCGUGCCAGCAGCCGCGGUAAUACGAAGGGUGCUAGCGUUGUUCGGAAUGACCGGGCGUAAAGGGUGCGUAGGCGGCCUGAUGCGUCUGAUGUGAAAUCCCUGGGCUUAACCUAGGAACUGCAUUGGAUACGGUCAGGCUAGAGUCCGCGAGAGGAAGAUGGAAUUGUGCGUGUAGAGGUGAAAUUCGUAGAUAUGCACAAGAACACCGGUGGCGAAGGCGAUCUUCUGGAGCGGUACUGACGCUAAGGCACGAAAGUGUGGGGAGCAAAC